AGAGCGAACGCUGGCGGCAGGCUUAACACAUGCAAGUCGAGCGGAUGUAGCAAUACAUCAGCGGCAGACGGGUGAGUAACACGUGGGAACGUACCUUUUGGUUCGGAACAACACAGGGAAACUUGUGCUAAUACCGGAUAAGCCCUUACGGGGAAAGAUUUAUCGCCGAAAGAUCGGCCCGCGUCUGAUUAGCUAGUUGGUGAGGUAAUGGCUCACCAAGGCGACGAUCAGUAGUUGGUCUGAGAGGAUGAUCAGCCACAUUGGGACUGAGACACGGCCCAAACUCCUACGGGAGGCAGCAGUGGGAAUAUUGGACAAUGGGCGCAAGCCUGAUCCAGCCAUGCCGCGUGAGUGAUGAAGGCCCUAGGGUUGUAAAGCUCUUUGUGCGGGAAGAUAAUGACGGUACCGCAAGAAUAACGCCCGGCUAACUUCGCGCCAGCAGCCGC
rnacentral:rRNA from 1 species